rnacentral:rRNA from 1 species
UGGAAAGUACGUACGCAAGUAUGAAACUUAAAGGAAUUGGCGGGGGAGCACCACAAGGGGUGAAGCCUGCGGUUCAAUUGGAGUCAAACGCCAGAAAUCUUACCCGGAGAGACAGCAGAAUGAAGGUCAAGCUGAAGACUUUACCAGACAAGCUGAGAGGUGGUGCAUGGCCGUCGCCAGCUCGUGCCGUGAGAUGUCCUGUUAAGUCAGGUAACGAGCGAGAUCCCUGCCGCUAGUUGCUAUCAUUAUUCUCAGGAAUAGUGGAGCGAAUUAGUGGGACUGCCGUUGUUAAAACGGAGGAAGGAAGGGGCUACGGCAGGUCAGUAUGCCCCGAAACUCUGGGGCCACACGCGGGCUGCAAUGGUAGUGACAAUGAGUUCCAAACUCGAAAGAGAGUGGCAAUCUCUAAACGCUACCACAGUUAUGACUGAGGGCUGUAACUCGCCCUCACGAAUAUGGAAUCCCUAGUAACCGCGUGUCAUUACCGCGCGGUGAAUACGUCCCUGCUCCUUGCACACACCGCCCGUCGUUUCAUCGAAGUUUGCUU